UGAAUAAUAUACACCUGGGUGGCGCCAUCUAGCGGUUUCAAUUGGCGUAACGGAAUGUAUCGAUUUUUUCCAAAAUGUACGUAUUGAUAUCGAUUGAUAAUCGUUUCCACAAGCGAAAUGGUGGAAACUAUUGGUGGAAAGAUUCAUGCCUUCAUUGAAAGUGUCAAGUAUGGCUGUGUCGUGUUAUCGUGUAUGUUCGUGAAUCGUGAUAACGGUAUAACUAACUGAUAACUAAAUUUACAUGAGUUAACAUAGUUAUGCUUUCCAACUGAAGCACUUGACUUGAUCAAGCAGUUAACUGUCGAGUUUGCCUUGGAGGAUGUGACGUCUUUUGCUUCUGCCAGUCAUAUUACUUCUAAUCAUUUCAAGCAACAUGUUAUACCCAUCAUACCUCCACAUGAAAGGACUGCUCAUACAUCCCACGAAAGACUCCCCAGUUGGAGUGAACAAAACUCGAUUUAGGAAAUGAUAUCCAAUCAAUGAGGACAUCUCAAAGGAACAGAGAUUCAGGACUGGAUUAUUUCAUGCUCGCGAUCAGUAUGCUGUCGACCUUGAAGUUACUUAUAACAGCUUGGGAGUCGGUGGAACAAAAAUAAGAACGAGUACGAUCUACGAGAAUUCUCUAGACGGUCUUCCCGACAUAUCUUCAUGACCCUGCAGCAGCUACGUAGCCCCACGUGAGGUUAUGCCUGUCAAGUUAUCAAUGUCAUUUAAGCUCGACUCUAUCUUGGCCUUUUUCUUUUGACUUACGGUCGACAAUAAAAAAGGCGUGCCUUGUUUUUCGGAAAUAAUAGUAUGGACAGCGUGCCCUGGUCAGUUAAUUGAGCCUGGCGUCAUCCAACACUCGAGGGCAGCAGAAGGACGAUCCACAGCUCCCCGGCCGAAUUGCACUGGAGCGAGUCGACGAAGUAGCCAGCAUCCUUCUGAACUCAAUUCAAAGUCUUUUCGAUGUCCAACUUUGCUAAUGGCGGGUCCGCGAUUGCUGUCGCUUCUUGAUUAGAAUCAAACUUGUGGCUUAUGCCUCAUGACUGUUCUUUUGUAGUUUCAAGGCGACCGAAAAGAAAUAACACUGGGCUGUGUUAAGCGAUAGAUGUUUUUUUUUUCGUAACAACUUCUGGAGGCUUAUUGCAUUCUUCAAAGCCUUCUUUUGAUUUCUGUCAAAUCAAGAAGGGACCAUCGGCAUUCAGCUUUCUACGUUGGAAAUAUGUUCCGCCAGUUUUCUGUUUCUUCCGGCUCUCUACUACGGACGUUUUUAUUCGAUGCUGGCGUUCAAUUCUUUCAACC